ensembl:lncRNA
UUAUCUGUGCAUAAUGAGAUCUGCUUGAUUAGUGAGAGUCCACAGCUGGGCUCCUGAACACUGACAGAUGUGCACAGGAAUAUGAGCUCAGAUUUGCGUCUGACUUAUGAGAGCUUCAAAGAGAGGGAUCCAACAAAAUUGAGAUGGAUUUCACAUAGUUAUGGAUCAUUACUGGUGCUCAGAAUAUCUGUUAGACACCAUCAGCCACAGAUAAAAGUGAGAGCUGAAACUAAAAGGAGAGGAUUGGUGCUGCAGGGGACAGCAGAUGAGCUUUACUCAAGCGUCCGACCCUUCGGAGCUCUGAACUUAUUGUCAAAUAAACGGGGUGAGAUUGGGUCAAGCAGACCUACGGCUGAUGCUGCAUAUCACUGAUGCAUGAUGGAGCUCAACACACAUGAACGCUAUUAAACAAGCUGUAGCCAAUGACAUCCAUGAUCAGCUUGACCUCUGACCCCAGGCGACCAACAGCAUGAAUAGAGCUCCAAUAAGCCUGUGUGCACUUGAGGAGAGAGCGGCAAAACAAGCGAACAGUCAGUCACACUGCAAACAUCCUCUGAGAGCAACAGCCACGCUGUUAUUAAUCUCAGACGGCACGCCUACCGACCGACUGAUGUAUACCGCACACAAACAAAAACAUGAGAAGAGUAAAACAUGAAGAAAUGUGCAAAAUCAGAGUGAGUCCUUUCCCAAAGUAAAGGCAAAGAUGAAGAUAUUAUUGAGGAAUGGUGCUUGUUAGAUACAAAACACUAUGAUUUUUCAUUCAUUUUCAUCUGUCAUCGAAUGCAACAUGCACUUUUACAAGUUGUUUGAAAAUAAAUGUGUGUUGGCAGUGUGUGUGUACACAACCCCCCAGCUGUUUAUAUAUAUCGGUAAGACUUGUAAUGUUUUUUAAGUAUCUUAUGCUCAUCCAGGCUGCAUUUAUUUGAUCAAAAAUACAGAAAAAAACAAUAUAACAAAUAAUGGUUUCUAUUUUAAUAUAAUUUCUGUGAUCAAAGCUGUAUUUUCAGCAUAAUUACUCUAGUCUUCAGUGUGACAUGAUCUUCAGAAAUCAUUCUAAUAUGCUGAUUUAUUAAUCAG